UUGAACUCUUCAGCUGUGUGCAUAGACGGGAAUGAAUGUUGGCAAAGGGGGGCAACAAGCAACCCACAUUUCAGAUUCAACAAGCAAACCCACAUUUCCCUGCAUUGAUGUGCAGCAGUGUUGUUGACCCAGCACGAUGCUUGAGAUUUCCAACCUCACGAGGUCAUACCAUCCGCAACUACUUGAGUCCAUUCGUCCUCCGAUUCACAAACUCAUUCUCUUCUGUACUAACAUCGUGUUUCUACCCGCACUGCGUUGUUGCUUGCAAUGAUUUGCAUGCGGCAAAGGCCACAACGCGAAGCCGCCGACUGCCUCCGCGGAUCUCAGCAGUUUCGGGUUUUGAGCCUCGUCAUCAUGAUGCUGUCUUCAGAUUGCAACCUGCUCUCGGUUUCGCGUUUCACGACAUCGUCAAGAGCUCGAGGCAAAUUGGCUAACCAUGUAUGACCACGCUCUGCAUUUGCGCUCGUGCAGCAAUUCUUCGGGCCGGAGCUGGCCAAGGAACGCCUGGACGACGUCGACGAAGCCAUCAAGCCGUUGUCCGACACCGUCGUGGAUGGCGAUUCCAGACACACCAACUUCACCGCACAGUUGCGAUUCCAAUCUGCGGGCGACGACGGAUUCGCAAUCCUCGAUUCAAUCAUGUGUCUGCCGCCCAUGCAUGAAGCGUGUUGAGGCUUGUUAAAGUUUAGACUGAUGUUAGUGACUCACCGAGCUCUUCUUUUUGGAGGUGGGCACUGUGAUGUACGAGAAGUGUGACCUGCAAUAUCGACCACCAAAAGAAUAGCUAUGUGGUUCAUUCUUAUCAUUCUAAUUUUAAGCAAGCUUCAACAAGCUCAAUGCUGGAAUUUAAUGUGUAAACUUUUGUUUGAGAUAGGCUGUGUGGAUUUCCUUCCUUGGGUGUGUUAUGCUUAGUGCAGCUAUUCACAAUGAAAAAUUAUUAACAUUGGAAUAGGUUGUUAUUUUAGUUUUUGUGAUGUUUUUUAAGAAAGAAGAAGUUUGUAUUUGAAAUA